rnacentral:rRNA from 1 species
GACGUAGGGCGCGAGCGUUGUCCGGAUUUAUUGGGCGUAAAGAGCUCGUAGGCGGCUUGUCGCGUCGACCGUGAAAACUCACAGCUCAACUGUGAGCUUGCGGUCGAUACGGGCAGGCUCGAGUUCGGUAGGGGAGACUGGAAUUCCUGGUGUGAGCGGUGAAAUGCGCAGAUAUCAGGAGGAACACCGAUGGCGAAGGCAGCUCGCUGGGGACGGUACUGACGCUGAGGCGCGAAGGCGUGGGGGAGCGAACAGG